ACCUGACCCCAUGCCGAACUCAGAAGUGAAACGCCGUAGCGCCGAUGGUAGUGUGGGGUCUCCCCAUGUGAGAGUAGGGCAUUGCCAGGC
rnacentral:rRNA from 1 species